rnacentral:lncRNA from 1 species
AUGUGCAGCUUUCUGGGUUCAGCAGUGAUCAUUGCUGAAAACCUCACUCCAGCACGACUCUUCCAUAGGAAACCUUCUGUGCUUACAACCAGGCACCUGAAUUGCACAUUAUCUGCAAUUUUCAGUAACCUGCUCGACAUCCCAGUCAUUCAUCCUGUCCAUCCUGUCCAAGUCAGGAGCACUGCAGCAUUUUUGGAUGGGAGUGCUUGCAGCCCUCAGCUGGGUGUGACAAGUGCCUGCAAGGUCAAGAGAAGCACUGCUCAGCUAAAAUUGGGGCUGGUUUUCUCCUAUGCUGCCCAGUGCGCUUCCAGUCAGUGACAAAGUUGCUCAGUUGGAGAUUGAGGUAGGCACAGUUCUGUUCAUGACUUGAACAGGUUUUUACUUCUGCAGGAUGACAAUCUUUCUAUUGAAUGCUGGCCUGUGUGCAUGCUGGAUGCAUUUCUGUUUUAUUCAUAUGUAAAGAGGCUCUGCCAGUAUCACUAUAGAACAUCUUGAUGUUUUCUGGAAAAAUGGCAUAUUUUGC